rnacentral:snoRNA from 1 species
CUGUAGUUAAUUAAGCUGACUGAUUGGAUUCCUUUACUAAUGGUAACCCACUGUGUAAGGCUGCAAACAGCAGUAUCUUUAGGUAUAUAUGUGGCCUGUUGCUUGAAUGGGUUGCCCUAAGGGACCUUGGAGACAGUG